rnacentral:rRNA from 1 species
ACAACAGGGAUUGCCUUAGUAACGGCGAGUGAAGCGGCAAUAGCUCAAAUUUGAAAUCUGGCUUUUGUAAACAAAAAGUCCGAGUUGUAAUUUGCAGAGGAUGCUUUUGGUUAAGCACUGUCUAAGUUCUCUGGAAUGAGACGCCAUAGAGGGUAAGAGCCCCGUCUAGUCAGAUGCCGAAGCCUCUUUAAAGCUCCUUCGACGAGUCGAGUAGUUUGGGAAUGCUGCUCAAAGUAGGAGGUAUAUGUCUUCUAAAGCUAAAUAUCAGCUAGAGACCGAUAGCGCACAAGUAGAGUGAUCGAAAGAUGAAAAGCACUUUGAAAAGAGGGUUAAACAGUACGUGAAAUUGCUAAAAGGGAAGCACUUGCAACUAGACGUAGAUAUUUCUAUUCACUUAGUGUUUUUCACUAAGGUAUUUAGGAGUAAUCUAGGCUAGCAUCGGUUUACUAUAAAGGAUAAAGACUCUUGGAACGUAGCCCUCUUUGGGGGGUGUUAUAGCCAGGUGUGCAAUGCUUUACUUGUAGACCGAGGUGUUAAUGCGCAUUUAUGCAAAGAUGCUGGCGUAAUAGUUGCUAGUGACCCGUCUUGAAACACGGACCAAGGAGUCGUCCUCGUAUGCGAGUGUUUGGGUGUAAAACCCUUGCGCGAAAUGAAAGUGAACGUAGGUAAGAACCUCAAAGGGUACAUUACCGACCGAUCUUGAUGUUCUCGGAUGGAUUUGAGUAAGAGCAUAUGGGGCCGGACCCGAAAGAAGGUGAACUAUGCCUGCGUAGGGUGAAGCCAGAGGAAACUCUGGUGGAGGCUCGCAGCGGUUCUGACGUGCAAAUCGAUCGUCAAACGUGGGCAUGGGGGCGAAAGACUAAUCGA